AUGCCUCAUACAUGCAAGUCGAACGAGGUCUUCGGACCUAGUGGCGCACGGGUGAGUAACAUGUGGGAAUCUACCUGAAGGUUCGGAAUAACUGCGGGAAACUGUAGCUAAUACCGGAUGUGUCUGCAAAGAGAAAGAUUUAUCGCCUUCAGAUGAGCCCGCACUAGAUUAGCUAGUUGGUGAGGUAAUUGCUCCACCAAGGCUACGAUCUAUAGCUGAUUUGAGAGGAUGAUCAGCCACACUGGGACUGAGACACGGCCCAGACUCCUACGGGAGGCAGCAGUAGGGAAUAUUGGACAAUGGGGGAAACCCUGAUCCAGCAAUGCCGCGUGAGUGAAGAAGGCCUUCGGGUUGUAAAGCUCUUUCAUCAAUGAUGAUAAUGACAUUAGUUGAAGAAGAAGCCCCGGCUAACUUCGUGCCAGCAGCCGCGGUAAUACGAAGGGGGCUAGCGUUGUUCGGAAUCACUGGGCGUAAAGCGUAUGUAGGCGGAUCAAAAAGUUAGAUGUGAAAUCCCUGGGCUCAACCCAGGAACUGCAUUUAAAACUAGUGAUCUAGAAUUUGGUAGGGGUUAGUAGAAUUUCCAGUGUAGAGGUGAAAUUCGUAGAUAUUGGAAAGAAUACCAGUGGCGAAGGCGACUAACUGGGCCAUUUUUGACGCUGAGAUACGAAAGCGUGGGUAGCAAACAGGAUUAGAUACCCUGGUAGUCCACGCAGUAAACGAUGAGUGCUAGUCGCUGGGACAAUAGUUUCAGUGUCGAAGCUAACGCAUUAAGCACUCCGCCU
rnacentral:rRNA from 1 species